UACGUAGGGCGCGAGCGUUGUCCGGAUUUAUUGGGCGUAAAGAGCUCGUAGGCGGCCAGUUGCGUCUGCUGUGAAAUCCCGGGGCUCAACCCCGGGCUUGCAGUGGAUACGGGCUGGCUGGAGGCAGGCAGGGGAGAACGGAAUUCCCGGUGUAGCGGUGAAAUGCGCAGAUAUCGGGAGGAACACCGGUGGCGAAGGCGGUUCUCUGGGCCUGUACUGACGCUGAGGAGCGAAAGCGUGGGGAGCGAACAGG
rnacentral:rRNA from 1 species